rnacentral:misc_RNA from 1 species
CCCCAUGCUGAUUCCUCGUUUCUAGGAAUCGGCGGAAGCGCUGGCUCUUGUAGUCAGAAGAGCUUCCUCCAUUCCAAAGAACAUAUGCCGCCGUCCUCAUGUCCCUUCAUCACUGGAAAAUAGGCCUUGGCUGCAUGGUGUAUCUGCCUGGAAGGCUUUCGAGCGCCUCGCGCUGCUGUAAAAAGCGGAUUGCAAGGCACCGGGCCGGUAGCUCAGGUGGUUAGAGCGCACGCCUGAUAAGCUGUGAGGUCGUGAGGUUCAACUCCUCCCUCGCUCCACCAGACCGCUUCGCGGUCUGGAGUCUUUGAUUGGUGCUCACUCGCCGCCGAACGCAUCCGCGUUCUUGGCUAUUCGCCGCAUAAGCGGAUGACGGGCGCUAGAAGCGGAUUGGCGGCCUUAGCAAAGGCUUCGGCUUAGAUGGUGCAUGCAUCGACGUGAUGGUAACCGGGGCUUAGCCUCAUCUGGGGAGAGCGGGUUGAUUUGCAAGAUUCACGACAUCUGAUCAGAUACCGGAUAGGCUCCACCAUGCUCGUCGAUAUGUAGCAGAGAUGAGCAGCACCGGGUUCAUCGGGCAAAGGGGCUUGGUGAAUAUGAGAGCGGAGUGGCGCUCGCUCU